GGCCUCCCCCCGAGCGAAACGAUGAGCCGGGCGCGCGCGCGCGCCUCAUCUUGGGAGCAAUAGUCGCUGCAUCCAGUGCAUUCUGCGUUCAGUUGCCGAACAGCUCGCAUCUCGGUUCUGUGCUCCGUGCCGUGCGCACCAGUAUACUAUUCGGGAUUCAGGAUUCUGAUGAAAUUUUCGCGUACCCAGACUGUACCACAGCAACUUCGUGAUUUCUUUCCUUUCCUCUCAUAAUUCGGCGACCAUCUUUACGGACUCCGUGUGAUUGCGCAGCGGACCAAUUUUGUUUUUUUUCGCCUCGUACAGUGUGUUCUGUAAUCCAAGUGUGCCUUAAAAUUGGAAUUAAAAUACUUUUAUCACCGGGUGAAAAUUACAGUGCAGUGUUUGUGUGUUUGUGUUGAAGACUAAUUCCAUCGGGUAAGCUUCCAAUUUUUUGUUGGAGUUUGAGGAAGAUGUCCUCUAGUCCAAAAGUACCAAGAUGGCGUCAGAAAGGAAACUGUGCAUAUUGGAAGUGUGUGCAAUUUGGAAAGGAUCUCCAUAUGUAAUGAUGAUGUGUGUCCCGCGUAACAGAGAUAUUUUGAGGUUAGUUUUUCGCUAGAAAAUUUAGCUAGUCGGAAUUUGUCCUGCAGCGCUGCCUGUAGCUUCUGAUGUCGCACGUCAUCAUCGCCUUCUAGAUGGUGUUUUGCCAAGAGACGAGGAUGCAUUUCAGUUAAACACACAGUAAUCGCUCCCUUUGAUUGAAACAGGAAUUGUACACCAGAUGUGUGUAAGGUUAUGUUUUUUUUUUCUUCCUUUCGGCUUCCCUUUACUGGGAAAUAAGAAUAUGGUGAAGCGAUACCGCAAUACGAACAAUGUUGGUGGUGCGUUGGGCAGCGUUGUUACGAGCAUGACGAACACGUGAUCACCAGACGAGGCUUUUGGUGCGGUGCGAGUGGUGUUCGAAGGAGAAAAAAAAAUCGGUGACAAAUAUGAUAAAACAUCAGCGGCAGUAAGAUGUACCCCACCCGGACCGAUGUACGUGAAAGUUCUUUUCCAUGGUUUUGCAUAGCAGACAUUGGUAGACGUUUGCUCCUUGCCGAAGAUCUCCCAGGGUUGGUCCUACAGAAUUCUCGAACGUUGGGAGAAUGAGUUCCAGUAUCGCGUGAUGUAACGUCAUCUUCUAGCUUGCAAAAAAGCUGCGAAAGUUCCAUGCUUCCUUGCAUUCAAUAGUAAUGUUUGAAACCCCUAUGGAAUGUAAAGAAGUAUGGAGCGCUCGGGCUAGUUCAACGCUCUAUGUGGGUUCGCGCUGCCUCAUGUAUGUGUGCUGCAGAAGCAGAGAGAUCCUUUUAGCAUAUUUACGUUAAUCCAUCAAGCAACCCAUGAUAGACAUUCUCGCAGCCAACGCGAACUGUACGAACAUCAUCCAAGGAGCAGCGGCAGCACGUACAUCUUCAUUCUACCCGAGAGGAGACACAUCCCGGGCUAUUUAUAGCCCGAAAAAAAAAAUACAACCAGCCUACCCGAGACGGUUCAACGUGUCGUCGCUUCUGACCGCACAUUGCGAAUCGCGUUGCAGCAAGAGAUGGUUUGGGACCAGAGAGAAGGAACACGCACGCGGAUGCUUGUACCACGCCGGAGGUUGUAACUGAGCCGUAACGAAACGGAGGAUGUAAAAAUAUCUUCAGCUCUACCCGAAGCGCACUGAAGCUGCGCCGCCGGACCAGCGGGCUUGCAACUGCGCCUGCGUAAUACGCACAGAGUGGGCACAGAAGUAGGCGCGCGCGCGCGCCACCAGAUAGCUGCGGAAGAAGCCGGAUGGGUUUCCGUGCGCGGCGGAAGAUUUAUUUUUAGAAAAAAACUAGGCACACACGUUCGUCACUUUCGCGCACAAUCGCGUCCUAAAAUAUGUCAUUUCUUCUAGUGUUAAGGAAGGUGGUGUGUGUGGGUUUAUUUUUUAAUACGCGUUGUAACUGUUUAACUCUCUCGGAUUUGGGGAAAUAAAAUAGAAUUAUAUUGAUGAUAUAUGAA